UACGAAGGGGGGCUAGCGUUGCUCGGAAUCACUGGGCGUAAAGCGCACGUAGGCGGAUUGUUAAGUCAGGGGGUGAAAUCCUGGAGCUCAACUCCAGAACUGCCUUUGAUACUGGCGAUCUCGAGUCCGGGAGAGGUGAGUGGAACUGCGAGUGUAGAGGUGAAAUUCGUAGAUAUUCGCAAGAACACCAGUGGCGAAGGCGGCUCACUGGUCCGGUACUGACGCUGAGGUGCGAAAGCGUGGGGAUCAAACAGGG
rnacentral:rRNA from 1 species